AACGAACGCUGGCGGCAUGCCUAACACAUGCAAGUCGAACGAGACCUUCGGGUCUAGUGGCGCACGGGUGCGUAACGCGUGGGAACCUGCCCUUAGGUUCGGAAUAACUCCCCGAAAGGGGUGCUAAUACCGGAUAAUGUCUUCGGACCAAAGAUUUAUCGCCUUUGGAUGGGCCCGCGUUGGAUUAGCUAGUUGGUAGGGUAAAAGCCUACCAAGGCGACGAUCCAUAGCUGGUCUGAGAGGAUGAUCAGCCACACUGGGACUGAGACACGGCCCAGACUCCUACGGGAGGCAGCAGUGGGGAAUAUCGGACAAUGGGCGAAAGCCUGAUCCAGCAAUGCCGCGUGAGUGAUGAAGGCCUUAGGGUUGUAAAGCUCUUUUAACCGGGAUGAUAAUGACAGUACCGGGAGAAUAAGCGCCGGCUAACUCCGUG
rnacentral:rRNA from 1 species